GCCAUGCGCAAUCGACUGUGCGAUUCUCUCCCACUUGAUCUGGCGCUAAGCCAUCUUUCUCUCUAUACUGAGCUCGAAUACCUAUAGUGUAUACUCCGUAGUGUACAGUGUUGUUUACUACAGUAAACAUAACCUGUGUUUUACUUGAAAACAAAUUAUGAAAAUAAUUAUAAUCAUAUUCUGCGAAAAAACUGCCAUCUUUCUCAAAAUGUAAGCACAAAACUAAUUCUACUUUUAAAUGCCUCACACUAAAAACGCAAGAUGUUGCUCGGUUUCACCAGAUUUUUUACAAAUUGAACAAUUAACUGAGCCAAGACAACUUUAUACUAAAACAUUGCCUUUUCUCCAAAUGCCAAAGAAAAAGGCUCAAAGAUCAGUCUAGAGGACCAAAGAAUUUAAGUGCAGAAUACUAUGUCACAAUAAAAAAUCCUUCAGGGUCAGGGUAUGCAAAACAGCUUUCAUUAAAAUAUUACAAGUGGGGAAAGAUAGAGUUACAGGCAUUCUACAGAGAUCGUAUAAAGAUGGAUGCAGUGUUACUAAAGAGAAUCGAGGUGGAAAUCACAAAAAAGAUAAAUAUGCACAGAGGCAAAGAAGUGUAAUGGCAUUUAUUGAGUCCAUAGAAGCAGCUGAACCUCAUUAUUGCAGGGCCAAAUCGUUUGUAAGUCUGUACUUGCCACCUGAAUUAAAUAUUAAAAAGCUGUGGAAAAUGUAUGAAGAGCAAAUUGCAAGUACCCCCUAUUUAAAGGUAAAACAAUCAUUUUUCAGACAAAUCUUUAACCGCAAGUACAAUGUUGGUUUUGGCUCUCCUCUGAAAGAUACCUGCUCCAGAUGUUCUGAAUUAAAAAGGGAAAUAGAAAGUACAAAUGGCCAAGAGAAACAGAUUCACAUAACCCAAAAAAGGUUGCAUAGCCUGAAAGCCAAAGCCUUUUAUGACUUAUUAAAAAAGGAAAAACGUCAUUCGAUUGCCAAAAAAACACGCGCGCUGCCUAAACUGCCCGACCAAGCGACUUACUUUAGUAGGCAGUUCAAUAUGAGCAAUUUUACAGUCGUUAUUGGUACAUCGAAAUCUGCUUUAGAUAACGUACGAACUUAUUACUGGUGUGAAAAUGAGCAUGCAAAAUCUUCAUCUGAAAUCGCAAGUGCAGUAUUCGACACAUUGAUCAGCUUGGAUAUCCCAAGCGAUAAAACAAGAGUAAGACUGUUUGCUGAAGGUUACGGUGGUCAAAACAAGAAUACAAUUUUAGUAGGCAUGUGCAUGAAAUGGUUGUAUUCAAAUGCACCACCACAUUGUAAAGAAAAUUGCAAUUAUAUUUCCCAUGGUUGGCCAUUUAUUCUUACCGCCCGACAGGGUAUUUGCAAUAAUUGAAGUAAAGUAAAGAAGAUGUCAGUCAUUUGCGACCUGUGCGAGAUGUGGGGGUGGAUGUUGAAGUGUAUGACUGGAAGAACGAAGUGAAUAAUGUAUGCAAACCUCCAGGCAGCUGGCAUUUCAAAUUUAAUGCUUGCAAACGAUUUAUACUGCCCUUGUACGCUGACACAAGGAGAGGAAAACUACAGAAGCGAAUAUACUCAGCCAAAAUAUAUGACUAAGAAAACAAGAAGUUGUGCGGAAUUGGAACCUGUAUUCCGCACAACGGAAUUGGAAUAAGACGAAAAGGGAAUAAAAUUAAUAUAAAAAAGAUUGCUGAUGUUUCGAACCUGUUAUCAAAACACGUUGGUGAAGACUGGAGAACUAUUGAGAGUUUAGCUUAUUACAGGGACAUUGAAGUUAAUAAUGACAAUUCCGAAGAACGCGAAGAUCUGGUAUGCGUACCGCUUGAAGAAAAUGAAAAUUGUGUUUGAUACAAUUUUGGCGAUAUUAAUUAAAGUUUAGAUUUAUUAUU